rnacentral:rRNA from 1 species
AUUGAACGCUGGCGGCAGGCCUAACACAUGCAAGUCGAGCGGAGCGGCGGACGGGUGAGUAAUGCCUAGGAAUCUGCCUGGUCGUGGGGGAUAACGUCCGGCAACAGGCGCUAAUACCGCAUACUUUCAGUUGAGCCUAGGUGGGAUUAGCUAGUUGGUGGGGUAGAGGCCUACCAAGGCGACGAUCCGUAACUGGUCUGAGAGGAUGAUCAGUCACACUGGAACUGAGACACGGUCCAGACUCCUACGGGAGGCAGCAGUGGGGAAUAUUGGACAAUGGGCGAAAGCCUGAUGCAGCCAUGCCGCGUGUGUGAAGAAGGUCUUCGGAUUGUAAAGCACUUUAAGUUGGGAGGCGUUACCAGCAGAAGAAGCACCGGCUAACUUCGUGCCAGCAGCCGCGGUAAUAC